UACGUAGGGUGCAAGCGUUGUCCGGAUUUAUUGGGCGUAAAGAGCUCGUAGGCGGUUUGUCGCGUCUGCUGUGAAAACUCGGGGCUCAACCUCGGGCUUGCAGUGGGUACGGGCAGACUGGAGUGCGGUAGGGGAGACUGGAAUUCCUGGUGUAGCGGUGAAAUGCGCAGAUAUCAGGAGGAACACCGGUGGCGAAGGCGGGUCUCUGGGCCGUAACUGACGCUGAGGCACGAAAGCUAGGGGAGCAAACAGG
rnacentral:rRNA from 1 species